rnacentral:sRNA from 1 species
GUCUAGCCCCGAUUGUAGCAUUUGUUUGAGCUCAUUUUUUUGAUUCGGGCUGCGGCGGCUUCGCCGCCGCAGCCCGAAUCAAAAAAAUAGCGAGUGCGGAAAGCGGGAAAUAGC